UAGCGCAUUAUAAUGAUCGUCUUAAAGGAGAAUUUCACAGGGAUACAGCACUGCAGCGCAUGUAAUGCAUUCGUAGCAAACCAGUGGGAGUGAACCAGCCGAAAUAAAAUGAUAUUAUAUCUGGGGGCGACAAACUGGAUAUCGUACAAGCUUACAUACAAGCCAAUGUACUCAGCAGCAACUAUGGACCAUAGUUUUAAGAUACGUCGUGAUGUUCUUCGUGGACAUUCUUGAAAGAAAACGUAAA